GAUGAACGCUGGCGGCGUGCCUAAUACAUGCAAGUCGAGCGAACAGACGCGGAGCUUGCUCCUCUGACGUUAGCGGCGGGCGGGUGAGUAACACGUGGAUCACCUACCUAUGAGACUGGGAUAACUUCGGGAAACCGGAGCUAAUACCGGAUAAUAUAUUGCACCGCUUGGUUAAAUAGUCAAAGACGGUUUUGCUGUCACUUAUAGAUGGUUCCGCGCCGCAUUAGCUAGUUGGUAAGGUAACGGCUUACCAAGGCAACGAUGCGUAGCCUACCUGAGCGGGUGAUCGGCCACACUGGACCUGAGACGCGGUCCAGACUCCUACGGGAGGCAGCAGAAGGGAAUGGUACGCAAUGGGAGGAAGCCUGACGGAGCAACGCCGCGUGAGUGAUGGAGGUAUUCGGAUCGUAAAACUCUGUUAUUAGGGAAGAACAAAUGUGUAAGCAACUAUGCACGUCUUGACGGUACCUAAUCAGAAAGCCACGGCUAACUACGUG
rnacentral:rRNA from 1 species